rnacentral:rRNA from 1 species
AGCAGCCGCGGUAAUUCCAGCUCCAAUAGCGUAUAUUAAAGUUGUUGCAGUUAAAAAGACUCGUAGUUGAAUUUCGGGAUCAAUACGUCGGUCGUGCCUCUGGUAUGUACUGGUGUUAUUGAUUUCUCCCUUCUGAUGAACCAUGAUGUCAUUAAUUUGGUGUCGUGGGAGUCAGGACUGUUACUUUGAAAAAUUAGAGUGUUUAAAGCAGGCUCACGCUUGAAUACAUUAGCAUGGAAUAAUGAAAUAGGACGUUCGAUCCUAUUUUGUUGGUUUCUAGGAUCAACGUAAUGAUUAAUAGGGAUAGUUGGGGGCAUUAGUAUUCAAUUGUCAGAGGUGAAAUUCUUGGAUUUAUUGAAGACUAACUACUGCGAAAGCAUUCGCCAAGGAUGUUUCAUUAAUCAAGAACGAAAGUUAGGGGAUCGAAGACGAUCAGAUACCAUCGUAGUCUUAACCAUAAACUAUGCCGACU